UAGACCAUGUCAACCACAACCACCAUGUAUUUAUUAUCCUAGACAUCCAACUACAACUAGCAUAAAGAAUAGAUUAGCAUAUAUUUCCAAAAGAAUUAGCAAGACUUUGAAGAAGUAGAAGUUUUAUCCUGGUUAUCUUGAACACCCUUCAUUUAUUAAUAAAUAUAAUAACACAGAAGUGCAGCAUAACGUAUUAGCAGCAAAAAGAGUAACAUAUCAUACUUUAAAGACCUUGCGAGAAGAAAGAGAGUUUUUAAGAAACUAGUUAAUCAUAACUUUAGAGAAAGGUAGACUGUAGUUUAUGAUAGAUUAUCUUAAUUUAGAAAUUAGUGAACCUCAAAAAAGAAAAAUCACUCCAGACCAAAAUAGUUUAGUUUGUUAUUUUCCUUUGAGAAAGCAUAAUCAUAUUUGUUAUAGUGAAGAAGAUCCAUAAUCCAUAUGUAUAUAGUAUGAUCUAGUAUAUUAUAGAUCUUUUUGUUAGUCAAGCAGAAAAUAAUAAAACUAGAAAAUAAUAAAGCAUAAUUAUUUGUUAAAACAAGUUGUUAGAGCAUUUUUAGAAAAAAUUCCAUAAAAAUAAUUAGACAAAAUUUAGAUUUUAUUACAUCUAAGUUAGAAGAUAAUAAUCAAAAUAUCCAAAGGUUUCCUUGCAAGAGAGAGAUAAAAGAGCUUAUUGACCUCAUAGAUAGUAAGUCUAAGCAAGUAGAACUUAGAUCACUAGAAAUAGUUAAGCAAUUAAAAUUAGAAGUUCAAAAAAAUUCAAUUAGUGCAAAAAGAGUUGAGUGAACAAGUAGAUAAGUUACAUGAUAAAAUAGAUAAAUUAUUCAAUUAGUGCAAAAAGAGUUGAGUGAACAAGCAUUUUAAUAGUAUAAUUAUAAUAGUAAAUUAUGUACCUUGGGAUAGGAAGUCAUUAACACAACUGAUAUCACACACUUGUUUAACUUUAUAUGAACAAUAGAUAUUAUUGUCUUUGUAGACCAUGUCAACCACAACCACCAUGUAUAUAUUAUCCUAGACAUCCAACUACAACUAACAUAAAGAGAAUAUUAGCAUAUAUUUGUAAAAUAAUUAGCAAGACUUUGAAAAAGUAGAAGUAUUAUCUUGGUUAUCUUGAACACCCUUCAUUUAUUAAUAAAUAUAAUAACACAGAAAUGCAGCAUAACGUAUUAGCAGCAAAAAAGAGUAACAUAUCAUACUUUAGAGACCUUGCGAGAAGAAAGAGAGUUUUUAAGAAACUAAUUAAUCAUAACUUUAGAGAUAGGUAGACUGUAGUUUAUGAUAGAUUAUCUUAAUUUAGAAAUUAGUAAACCUCAAAAAAGAAAAAUCACCCUAGACCAAAAUAGUUUAGUUUGUUAUUUUCCUUUGAGAAAGCAUAAUCAUAUUUUGCAUAGUGAAGAAGAUCUAUAAGCCAAUAGUAUUAUAGAUCUUAUUAUUAGUGAAGCAGAAAAUAUAGAACUAGAAAAUAAUAAGCAUAAUUAUUUGUUAAACUAGUUGUUAAAGCUUUUUUUAGAAAAAUUCCAUAAAAACGAUUAGACAAAAUUUAGAUUAUAUUACAUUGAAGUUAGAAGAUAAUAAUAAAAAUAUCCAAAGGUUUCCUUGCAAAAGAGAGAUAAAAGAUCUUAUUGAUAUAAUAGAUAGUAAGUCUAAGCAAGUAGAACUUAGAUCACUAUAAAUAGUUGAGCAAUUAAAAUUAGAAUAUCAAAUAAUUGAAUUAGUGCAAAAAUAGUUGAGUGAACAAGUAGAUAAGUUACAUGAUAAAAUAGACAAAUUAUUCAAUUAGUGCAAAAAGAGUUGAGUGAACAAGCAUUUUAAUAGUAUAAUUAUAAUAGUAAAUUAUGUACAUUCAGGUAAGAAGUCAUUAACACAACUGAUAUCACACACUUGUUUAAUUUUAUAUGAACAAUAUAUAUUAUUGUCUUUGUAGACGAUGUCAACCACAACCACCAUGUAUUUAUUAUCCUAGACAUCCAACUACAACUAGCAUAAAGAGAAUAUUAGCAUAUAUUUCAAAAAGAAUUAGCAAGACUUUGAAGAAGUAAAAGUUUUAUCCUGGUUAUCUUGAACACCCUUCAUUUAUUAAUAAAUAUAAUAACACAGAAGUGCAGCACAACGUAUUAGCAGCAAAAAAGAGUAACAUAUCAUACUUUAUAGACCUUGCGAGAAAAAAGAGAGUUUUUAAGAAACUAAUUAAUCAUAACUUUAGAGACAGGUAGAAUGUAGUUUAUGAUAGAUUAUCUUAAUUUAGAAAUUAGUGAACCUCAAAAAAGAAAAAUCACUCUAGACCAAAAUAGUUUAGUUUGUUAUUUUCCUUUGAGAAAACAUAAUCAUAUUUUGUAUAGUGAAGAAGAUCCACAAGCCAAUAGUAUUAUAUAUCUUAUUAUUAGUCAAGCAGAAAAUAUAAAACUAGAAAAUAAUAAGCAUAUUAUUUAUUAAAUUAGUUGUUAGAGCAUUUCAGAAAAAUUCCAUAAAAACAAUUAGACAAAAUUUAGAUUAUAUUACAUCUUAGUUAGAAGAUAAUAAUAAAAAUAUCCAAAAGUUUCCUUGCAAAAGAGAGAUAAAAGAGCUUAUUGACAUCAUAGAUAGUAAGUCUAAGCAAGUAGAACUUAGAUCACUAGAAAUAGUUGAGCAAUUAAAAUUAGAAGUUCAAAAAAUGCAAUUAGUGCAAAAAGAGUUGAGUGAAUAAGUAUAUAAAUUACAUGAUAAAAUAGAUAAAUUAUUCAAUUAGUGCAAAAAGAGUAGAGUGAACAGGCUUUUUAAUAGUAUAAUUAUAAUAGUAAAUUAAGUACCUUGAGGUAGGAAGUCAUUAACACAACUGAUAUCACACACUUGUUUAAUUUUAUAUGAACAAUAGAUAUUAUUGUCUUUGUAGACCAUGUCAACCACAACCACCAUGUAUUUAUUAUCCUAGACAUCCAACUACAACUAGCAUAAAGAGAAUAUUAGCAUAUAUUUCCAAAAGAAUUAACAAGACUUUGAAGAAGUAGAAGUUUUAUCGUGGUUAUCUUGAACAUUCUUCAUUUAUUAAUAAAUAUAAUAACACAGAAAUGCAGCAUAACAUAUUAGCAUAAAAAAGGAGUAACAUAUCAUACUUUAGAUACUUUGCGAGAAGAAAGAGAGUUUUUAAGAAACUAAUUAAUCAAAACUUUAGAGACAUGUAGACUGUAGUUUAUGAUAGAUUAUCUUAAUUUAGAAAUUAGUGAACCUCAAAAAAGAAAAAUCACUCUAGACCAAAAUAGUUUAGUUUGUUAUUUUCCUUUGAGAAAGCAUAAUCAUAUUUUGUAUAGUGAAAAAGAUCCACAAGCCAAUAGUAUUAUAGAUCUUAUUAUUAGUCAAGCAGAAAAUAUAAAACUAGAAAAUAAUAUGCAUAAUUAUUUGUUAAAUUAGUUGUUAGAGCAUUUCAGAAAAAUUCCAUAAAAACAAUUAGACAAAAUUUAGAUUAUAUUACAUCUUAGUUAGAAGAUAAUAAUAAAAAUAUGCAAUGGUUUCCUUGCAAAAGAGAGAUAAAAGAGCUUAUUGACCUCAUAGAUAGUAAGUCUAAGCAAGUAGAACUUAGAUCACUAGAAAUAGUUGAGCAAUUAAAAUUAGAAGUUCAAAAAAUUCAAUUAGUGCAAAAAGAGUUGAGUGAAUAAGUAUAUAAGUUACAUGAUAAAAUAGAUAAAUUAUUCAAUUAGUACAAAAAGAGUAGAGUGAACAAGCAUUUUAAUAGUAUAAUUAUAAUAGUAAAUUAAGUACCUUGAGGUAAGAAGUCAUUAACACAACUGAUAUCACACACUUGUUUAAUUUUAUAUGAACAAUAGAUAUUUUUGUCUUUGUAGACCAUGUCAACCACAACCACCAUGUAUUUAUUAUCCUCGACAUCCAACUACAACUAGCAUAAAGAGAAUAUUAGCAUAUAUUUCCAAAAGAAUUAGCAAGAUUUUGAAUAAGUAGAAGUUUUAUCGUGGUUAUCUUGAACACCCUUCAUUUAUUAAUAAAUAUAAUAAUAUAGAAACGCAGCAUAACGUACUAGCAGCAAAACAGAGUAAUAUAUCGUACUUUAGAGACCUUGCGAGAAGAAAGAGAGUUUUUAAGAAACUAAUUAAUCAUAACUUUAGAGACAGGUAGACUGUAGUUUAUGAUAAAUUAUCUUAAUUUAGAAAUUAGUGAACCUCAAAAAAGAAA
rnacentral:lncRNA from 1 species